CUUUCAAACUAAGAAUGAACUCUAUUUCUCAAUCUCUGCCUCUGUAGUUUGCUGGGAAAUGGUAUGCCAUUGGAAUAGUGAACUCUAAUGGACCACCUGAGCAUAUCCCAGUCCUAGACCAUACAGUGGAAACCUUGCCGAAUGGGGACCUCCUUAUACGAACACGAACACAGGUCCCUGAGAAGAACAAAUGCAAGAAGAAAAAUAUUCAUUUGACACACAGUGAUCAUCCUGGAGUGUUCACUACUGCAACGAAGCACAUCUUCACUGUGGUGGAGGCAGAAUAUGGAAGUUACUACAUUCUUUACAUUGAAACGCCUGAAAAAAAUAUUUUGCAAUUUUUUGCCAGGAAACCAGAAGUGCCUAUAAUGAUGAAAAGUAUGUACCUGAGCCACGUGCAGUCCCUUGGAUUUAAACGGAAGUUUGUCCUUUAUUUGAACAUCAUUGAUUGGUGCCGUUAGCUGGAUCCAAGGAAUAUGCUCCCCUCGGUUGCUGGGCAUUUUGCCAUCUCACGGAUCAGUUGCCCCUUACAUUAAUAAUUUAAUUUCCUCACAACAGUGAACAUGCCUUUUCAUUAACCAUAAUAAACACAUUACCUUCUGCUCUAUUCCAGGGAAGAUUUAACAAAAUCCCACUUAGACAAACUCUGUCCUUUUUCCUUGAAGGAGACAGAAACUGUUCAGCAUGUACUUUUGUGCCAUUGGUUUUAUGCAAACAUUCAGAAAACUUGAAUUCAUCCUCUGAAAAACUCAUGUAGCAGCUCCUCUGAUGAGAGAAUUGUGACCUACUUAUUCGCUGAUUUUGACCCAAUUGUUAUUAAUACAGUAGCUAAAUUUCUUGUUUUAGUGAUAAGAUUAAAAGAACAACAGAGUUAGGCCCCUUCCGCACAUGCAGAAUAGUGCACUUUCAAUCCACUUUCAAUGCACUUUGCAGCUGGAUUUUACUGUGCGGAAUAG